rnacentral:rRNA from 1 species
AGCAGCCGCGGUAAUUCCAGCUCCAAUAGCGUAUAUUAAAGUUGUUAGCAGUUAAAAAGCUCGUAGUUGAAUUUCGGGGUUAGCAGGUCGGUCGUGCCAAUGGUAUGCACUGGCUCGCUGACUCCUCCUUCUUGUAGAACCGUAAUGCCAUUAAUUUGGUGUUGCGGGGAAACAGGACUGUUACUUUGAAAAAAUUAGAGUGUUUAAAGCAGGCUAGCGCCUGAAUACAUUAGCAUGGAA